CCGACUUUAGCUCAGUUGGUAGAGCGGAGGACUGUAGUGUAUGCAGAUUUAAUCCUUAGGUCGCUGGUUCGAAUCCGGCAAGUCGGA
rfam:Triticum aestivum genome assembly, contig: Triticum_aestivum_CS42_TGACv1_scaffold_249751_3DL